rnacentral:rRNA from 1 species
CUCGGAGUUUGAUCCUGGCUCAGGACGAACGCUUGCGGCGUGCCUAAGAAAUGCAAGUCGAACGAGGACUUCGGUCCUAGUGGCGAACGGUCGCGUAACACGUAAGCAACCUGCCCUGAAGUGGGGGACAACAUCCCGAAAGGGGUGCUAAUACCGCAUGUGGUCACGAGUCGGCAUCGGCUUGUGUCUAAAGAUUUAUCGCUUCAGGAUGGGCUUGCGGCCUAUCAGGUAGUUGGUGGGGUAAUGGCCUACCAAGCCGACGACGGGUAGCUGGUCUGAGAGGACGAUCAGCCGGAUUGGGACUGAGAUACGGCCCAGACUCCGUACGGGGGGCAGCAAUUAGGAAUCUUGCGCAAUGGGGGCAACCCUGACGCAGCGACGUCGCGUGAAGGAUGAAGGCCCCUCGGGGUUGUAAACUGCUUUGUACGGAACGAAAAGGUCUCUAUUAAUACUAGGGGGCUCAUGACGGUACCGUAAGAAUAAGCACCGGCUAACUACGUGCCAGCAGCGGCG